ensembl:lncRNA
GAUUACUGUUCCCUCCCCUAAUGUGUCUCAGCUGUUCCUCGUUGUGUUUGUUAUUUAAGCCCUCGUCUUUCCUUUGUUCGGUGUGCUGUCAUUGUGGUUUGUGUGUGGGUUGCCGUGGUUAGUGUUGGUUGUAGUCCUGCGUGUUCCGUGUUCCUUGUUCCCUUUCGAGUUCCCUGUUGUCUCCCGAGUUCCGAGUUGUCUCCCGAGUUCCCUGAUACCUGUGCCUUAGCCUUUAGGUUUGAUUAAAGUGCCGUUUACCCUCAAUACCGUCUGCGUUUGGGUCCUACCUGCCUCCCUGCACCUCCAGCGCCUCCCCUUAACAGAAUGACAGCACCGUCACGAUGGGACCCAGCGGACGCGCAAUUUGACCCUCCCGCACUGACUCCGGUCCCCGAGCCCUGUCCGGUUCCUGAGCCCGCUCCUCGCCUUCCAGAGGGGGACCGGCCUCUUCGCCUGCUUGAGGUGGUCCGCCCUCCGCUCCUGCCUGAGGGGGCCCGCCCCCUGCUCCUUCCAGAGGGGGACCGGCCUCCGCUCCUGCCUGAGGGGGACCGGCCUCCGCUCCUGCCUGAGGGGGACCGGCCUCCGCUCCUGCCUGAGGGGGACCGGCCUCCGCUCCUGCCUGAGGGGGCCCGCCCCCUGCUCCUUCCAGAGGGGGACUGGCCUCUGCUCCUGCCGGAGGGGGUCCGCCCUCCAGACCGUCCAGGAGGCACGCCCUCCGUUCCUACCUGGCCUUCUACCAGAGGGGACCCGCCCUCUGCCUGGCCUUCUACCAGAGGGGACCCGCCCUCUACCUGGCCUUCUACCAGAGGGGACCCGCCCUCUGCCUGGCCUUCUACAAGAGGGGACCCGCCCUCUACCCUGUCCACCAGAGGGGACCCGCCCUCUACCUGGCCUGCCUCCUGAGGGGACCCGCCCUCUACCUGGCCUGCCUCCUGAGGGGACCCGCCCUCUACCUGGCCUGCCUCCUGAGGGGACCCGCCCUCUACCUGGCCUGCCUCCUGAGGGGACCCGCCCUCUACCUGGCCUGCCUCCUGAGGGGACCCGCCCUCUACCUGGCCUUCCUCUUAAGGGGACCCGCCCUCUACCUCGCCUUCGCCGACCUCCUGAAGGGUUCCGCCUUCACCGCUGCCGGCCUUCUGAGGGGGUUCUGUGCCACUGCAGGUCCCCUGAGGGACUGAGCCCUCAUCGUCCUUGCCGCCGGCCUCCUGAAGGGUUCCGCCUUCACUCUGCCUCUGCUUGCCCCCCAGGCCGUCCGCCUGAGGCUCCCUGCCAUGCCCUGGGGUAGUUUUCUGGACGCCCGCCUGACGUACCUCGGCUCUGCCGCAGUCCAUUUUUUUUCCCCCUCCUGGCGCCCCUCCACCCACCCGUUUUGGGUUUGACUUUCUUUGUUUUUUGUUUGUCGUGGGUCGCCUGGGAGUCGACCCUUAAGGGGGUACUGUCAGGGUGUGGGUGUCUCCUGUGUUUUUCCCUCCUGUGUUGAUUACUGUUCCCUCCCUAAUGUGUCUCAGCUGUUCCUCGUUGUGUUUGUUAUUUAAGCCCUCGUCUUUCCUUUGUUCGGUGUGCUGUCAUUGUGGUUUGUGUGUGGGUUGCCGUGGUUAGUGUUGGUUGUAGUCCUGCGUGUUCCGUGUUCCUUGUUCCCUUUCGAGUUCCCUGUUGUCUCCCGAGUUCCGAGUUGUCUCCCGAGUUCCCUGAUACCUGUGCCUUAGCCUUUAGGUUUGAUUAAAGUGCCGUUUACCCUCAAUACCGUCUGCGUUUGGGUCCUACCUGCCUCCCUGCACCUCCAGCGCCUCCCCUUAACA